CCAAGAUGUCUACAGAACAUGUAAGAUGUCUGAGGAGAAGCCGCAUGCGUCUGCUACGGUCACAUGCCACUCUGGGCGCUAGAAGGGCCAAAUGCGUGCAGGAUAGAUCUGAUAAUUGAUCUGUUGAUCUCAGGUACAUCCGCCCAUAACCUUGGAGUACAUAGCUUCAUGUUGAUGAUUAAUUUUCAACAGGUCACGGAUUUCACAAUUAUUUGACCAAUGUUGAUCUGUCAGCUUGGACACAACGGCCGAGCAGUAAUUGUUGUGAUCUCAGGGAGUAUGCAACUCCCCCUACUUGUUCUUGCCAAUUACUCCCUUCUAUCCAUGAAAGCUGUCUAAGAUUUUUCUAAAUUCGGAUGUAGCUAGCAUCUAGAUACAUUCAAAUUUUGACAAUCUCAGACAAGUUUUAUGAGACGGACCCCUUUAUAUUUCUAAAAAAAAGUUCUAUUAGACGGAGGAAGUAGAUUAGCUUAUAGACUUCUAGGGAUUGGUCUGAUCAUCAACUAUUUUUGCCUUGGUCAUCCGGUGAUAAUUUUUGCAAACUACUGUUUACACUUUAAAGUCAUCAUGGCGGCGACGAACUCUCGAUCGACCGAUUGCCUGUUACCGUCAUGGUUAUGCAAGCGCUCCUGGAUUAAUUCCAAGUCAUGUGUAUGUCAGCACAAAGUUAUCCAGCCAGAUUCUCUAUCCAAUUGAUAAUUUGGUGUCCUUCAUCAGAUGUAAUCAUACCUACAUGCAAAGCAAGCAUCAGUUAUCCUUCAUCUUUAUUCCUAGUUAUUAGGCCCCAUCACGUUUUGUUAUGAGUUGUAACAUGCAUCUGUGCCAUUAGAUGGAGCAAAUAAUUUCCUUGCUCCCCGCUAAGUCCAAUAUGUUAUCAUGGAAUGUGCAUGAUGCAUGCACAGUGAAUCAGACGUGUGCAAUAUUGCAAGGUGCAGAGAGUAUUGUGGGGAAGAUCGUAUGAGUAUAAGGAUCCAUAACUAAUACAGUAGCUCGAGUUUGUAUGAACUUGAAGUGUAAAUGAGGAAAAUUCUAUCUUUAAUGCCGUGUUUUAAUUCA